rnacentral:rRNA from 1 species
AUUUAGCCAUGCUAGUUGUACGAGUUUGGACUCGUAGCAGAUAGCUCAGUAACACGUGGCCAAACUACCCUAUGGAUCCGGAUAACCUCGGGAAACUGAGGCUAAUCCGGAAUACGACUCUCAGCCUGGAAGUGGCGAGAGUCAGAAACGCUCCGGCGCCAUAGGAUGUGGCUGCGGCCGAUUAGGUAGACGGUGGGGUAACGGCCCACCGUGCCCAUAAUCGGUACGGGUUGUGAGAGCAAGAGCCCGGAGACGGUAUCUGAGACAAGAUACCGGGCCCUACGGGGCGCAGCAGGCGCGAAACCUUUACACUGCACGAUAGUGCGAUAAGGGGACUCCAAGUGCGAGGGCAUAUAGUCCUCGCUUUUCACUACCGUAAGGAGGUAGAAGAAUAAGUGCUGGGCAAGACCGGUGCCAGCCGCCGCGGUAAUACCGGCAGCACGAGUGAUGACCGCUCUUAUUGGGCCUAAAGCGUCCGUAGCUGGCCACGCAAGUCUAUCGGGAAAUCCGCGCGCUCAACGCGCGGGCGUCCGGUGGAAACUGUGUGGCUUGGGACCGGAAGAUCCAGAGGGUACGUCUGGGGUAGGAGUGAAAUCCCGUAAUCCUGGACGGACCACCGGUGGCGAAAGCGCUCUGGAAAGACGGAUCCGACGGUGAGGGACGAAAGCUCGGGUCACGAACCGGAUUAGAUACCCGGGUAGUCCGAGCUGUAAACGAUGUCUGCUAGGUGUGCCACAGGCUACGAGCCUGUGGUGUGCCGUAGGGAAGCCGUGAAGCAGACCGCCUGGGAAGUACGUCCGCAAGGAUGAAACUUAAAGGAAUUGGCGGGGGAGCACUACAACCGGAGGAGCCUGCGGUUUAAUUGGACUCAACGCCGGACAUCUCACCAGCAUC